UACGUAGGUGGCAAGCGAUACUCGGAAUCACUAGGCGUAAAGCGCAGGUAGGCGGCUCGAUAAGUCUCUUGUGAAAGCUCCCGGCUCAACUGGGAGAGGUCAAGGGAAACUGUUGGGCUAGAGUGUGGUAGAGGAAACUGGAAUUCCCGGUGUAGCGGUGAAAUGCGUAGAGAUCCGGAGGAACACCAAAGGCGAAGGCAGUGUCCUGGGGAGUACCUGACGCUCAGGUGCGAAAGCCAGGGGAGCGAACGGG
rnacentral:rRNA from 1 species